rnacentral:misc_RNA from 1 species
AGGGGAUAACAAACUUGCUACUGAUUGCACACCAGCAACAAAUCCUUGUGCUUUUCCCUGUAUUGAAUCACUAGAAAUUAGAACCCCUGAUAAAUGGAAAUAAAAUCAUGAAUGAAAGAGGAAAGAAGCCAGAAAAGAUCAGUAACACAACCCCCUCCCCCUCCCACACAUCCCCUGGGCUAGUUUGCACUUUACACCAAGUGCAAGUUAAAUCUGCCACUGGUUUGUCCUAAUUUUUUCUGAAGUUCAGUGAUUGUACUAAAAAAAAAAAUUCCAAGUUCGCAUAUGAAGUUUAAAAAAGAUUUGCAUAGGUAUGCACUCUAUCUAUUUUUAGCACCCGUAAAAGUUUGACAUACGCUUACAGAUCCAAAAAAAUAAAAGUUUAGAGACCCAUAAUUUUACAAACCUGAUCUGCUGAGCUUGAUGCUUUGGAAACUAUAGCAUAGGUCUGCACAAGAAUGAAUUCAGCACAAAAGGCAGAAAGAAUUAGACAUUCCAGUAAUUUGAACGAAGGGACAUCAUUGGCCCUUACGAAUGGUGGGGUUGGGUUUGUGGGCGUGUGGUGUGGUGGUGUGGGGGUUGUGGUCAUGGGGGUUGGGGGCGCAACAUAGCACUUACAGAAGGUGUCACAAGGACAUAAAUGGCUCCGAAAGAGGCACUCAAAUAUGCCACCUGCAAUUGGCAAUGAGAAACUUUGUAUACUAAUUUAAUAGAGAAAGAAAUAUCUUGGAUAAUCUCUGAAUUUCCAGGUGAACUUACUUACAAAUAGUUCUACUUGUCACAAUAAAUUUCUCCUAAGUUUCAUCAUAUGUUAUACUUUCACAGGAAAAUUUUGUAACAUGCAUAAUGCAAACAGCAUUCUCAUCUUAUUUUCAAUUAGCUGCCAACUUUUAUUUCAAAUUGAUAACUAAUAUUACUAAACAAUGAACAGAAAUAAUAGCCAUAACACAGCAAAGAAUAAAGUAAAAUGUUCAAUAUCUUGACAAAAUUCCACAGGCGUUUCACUUAAACCCUUUUGCUUAAAAGGCCAUAGAAAUUUAUAUUCUCAGGAAUAAAGUGCAUAUGAAUACAUACCCAAGAUGCCCACGCCAAACCGUAGAACAAUGCAUAAGCUAUUGAUGCAAGUAA